GAAAGUUACAAAGCAGGCAGUGGACAAGUGAUCAAAAUCAUCCAGGCUGCUGAAAGCCAGACCAGCAGUUAGGGGUGGGUGAACCUCAAGAAAUGUAGAGCAAGGAGAAGCAAGGGAAGAGAUGCAUGAUAUGGUUUGAACUAUGGUUCAGCAAGUUUUCACUCACCUCCCCCUCACUUUCCCACUCUGUUGAUGUUGGGCUUUGCUGCAUGACUUUCUUUGGCUGGGUGAAUGUUAGUAGAAAUGAUACAAACAGAGACUUUAAAUGUGCUUGUGUUAUUGGGCAUACUCUUCUACAGAAUACACUCUAAGGAAAGAAUGUCUACCCACUCACUGCUGCUUCAGCCUGGGACCUAGAAUAAAGAGACCUGAGCCCCAUCCACAGCUUAGAGCCACGCCAGACCACUAGAAGCAGAGUGAACCACCCCAGAGAACUGUGGCUCGUGCUUCUGGAGCUGUGAGAGAAGAGGAGCUUUGGCCUGUGACAUGAGUAGAUGAGCCUUCACUACAGAGCAGUCCUGGAAGCGAUCACACCAUGGAAAGAUAUGAACACUCAGACCUGCCACUUGUCAGGUGAAAGUGCAGACUUUUCCCCUCAACCACAAUAUCCAGUUGAAGAUUCUAUGCUGGGAAUGAACCAUGGGACUUUGUUAUGAACCUGUGUGAAGUCCCAAAACUACUUCCCACAGGGGAUUUUCCUGGCCCUUUAUCCUCAGCUGGUGCUGAGGAACAUCUACCCACCGAGAAAUUUCCUUGUGACUCCUGCCAAGAACUGAAUUUCACCCCUCCUGCCAAGGGGGUUACAAACUCCAUAAAAAACAAUAACAAGGAGAACAACAACAAAAUGAAAUUUCUUUGAAUAUUUUGGACCAGAUCGAUCACAUUCUUUUUUGAACUCUUAUUAUAUUCACAAAAUGAUAGAGGUAAGCACUUAAUUAUUCUGUCUCACAAGUGUUAAUGUAAUCAAUCUAUUUUGUGGUACCCUUUCAGUCCUCACUCUCAUGUUUAAGAACUGUCCCUGUCUUUCCUACAUAUUUCCAGAUGAAAGAAUGGCUUCUGAGACCACAUUUGUACCUUAC
rnacentral:lncRNA from 1 species